rnacentral:tRNA from 2 species
CGGGCUGUAGCGCAGCCUGGUUAGCGCGUCUGACUGGGGGUCAGAAGGUCGGAGGUUCGAAUCCUCUCAGCCCGACUA